GGAACACAAGUAUAUAUAGAUUAUAUACAAUGGACAAUCGAGCUAGGGGGUACAAUAUCACAUUACAAUUACACAAGGACCUUAAGGGACAUACAUACACUUACAACAAAUCAAUGCAGAAAGUUACAGAAUUCUAACAGCUUUUUUGUUAGUAGAGUAUUUAGCUGUCUUAAAAUAUAGUUCAAUUUCUUUUAGUCGACUUUGCGAGGGUAAAAUUAGGUUCGCUCCGGGGACCUGAAACUCCCCAUAAUUAAAUUCGCGACGAUUGUACAUCCGCUAAGAAAAGUCAGAGAAAACAUAACAUCAAUGGAGAAGUCCACCUUACAAGUGGUCUUGACCUGAAUGCAGCAUCGGCAUCGUAACCGACUUCGGUGGGAAAAUACUCAAAUUCGAUGGCCACUGGCAUACUGGAAAAGUGUACUAAUCACGGAUGAAUCCCGGUUUCAACUGUACCAGGCAGAUGGCAGACUGACGUAAACACUGAUCAGAGUGCCCCGUGAUGGUGGUGGGGAUAUGGUGAACGCCAGAAGCAGCACACCAUCGAUGUGAGCUGGGAGAAGCGAGGCUGUAGAGCCGGAGACGAGGCGAGAACGAGGGCUGUUGUUGGAGCAGACCGGGACCAGUGUUGAAAUGGAGAGAAAAGGCCUUUAUGGGAAUUGGGAGGGUGAACGCUAACCCUUCUCAAAGCUAAGUACCUCCAUAUCCAAUUUUAACUUAGUGCCAGAUAGAGCUGUAUUCCAACAUUCUCUACUCUGUUGCGUGCUUACGCACUCAUUAAUGCCAGUGUGCCUGUGGAUUGAGACUAUAGCUGCAGUGUGACCUGACCGGAGGAGGAACUACGAAUCAACUCUGGAUCAGAUUGACGGCUGCUGGUGAGCGAGAAGAAAUGGAGAGGAGGCCUUUGGGAAAUUGGGAGGGUGAACGCUUCACAUCUUCAUAUUCCAUUUCCAACAUUUCACCUGCUAGCAGUGCCUGCCGACGUUCUCUACUGCUUUGUGUGCUACGCACUUGUUAAUGCCAGUGCAUACACUGUGAACCAGAGAGGAGGCUUGGAACACUGGCUUGGAUCCCUCAGUGUCCCUGCCGUGGUGGGACCACAGAACACUAAGGGCUAUUAAAAUAGGACUUUUGCAUUUGAUAUUUUUGGACUUGUCCACUUCGGACUUAGCCAUUGUUAAAUAAAUAGUGUGGUGUGUGUUUGGAAGGUC